AUUGAACGCUGGCGGCAGGCCUAACACAUGCAAGUCGAGCGGAUGAAGGGAGCUUGCUCCUGGAUUCAGCGGCGGACGGGUGAGUAAUGCCUAGGAAUCUGCCUGGUAGUGGGGGAUAACGUCCGGAAACGGGCGCUAAUACCGCAUACGUCCUGAGGGAGAAAGUGGGGGAUCUUCGGACCUCACGCUAUCAGAUGAGCCUAGGUCGGAUUAGCUAGUUGGUGGGGUAAAGGCCUACCAAGGCGCCGAUCCGUAACUGGUCUGAGAGGAUGAUCAGUCACACUGGAACUGAGACACGGUCCAGACUCCUACGGGAGGCAGCAGUGGGGAAUAUUGGACAAUGGGCGAAAGCCUGAUCCAGCCAUGCCGCGUGUGUGAAGAAGGUCUUCGGAUUGUAAGGCACUUUAAGUUGGGAGGAAGGACAGUAAGUUAAUACCUUGCUGUUUUGACGUUACCAACAGAAUAAGCACCGGCUAACUUCGUG
rnacentral:rRNA from 1 species